CUUAACUGUGGAAAAGCAAGGGAAACUGGAUUACUUGAGUCUGUUAGAGGAAGUUGGAAUUCUCGGUGGAGGGGUGAAAUCCGUAGAUAUCGAGAGGAACGCCAAUUGCGAAGGCAAGCUUCUGUGACAGCACUGACGCUCGGGGAUGAAAGCUAGGGUAGCAAAAGGGAUUAGAGACCCCUGUAGUCCUAGCCGUAAACGUUCCUUGCUAGCUGUUUGUAACAUUAAGUUAUAAGUGGCGUAAGCUAACGCGUUAAGCAAGGCGCCUGGGGAGUACGACCGCAAGGUUAAAACUCAAAGGAAUUGACGGGGGAGCGCACAACCGGUGGAGUAUGUGGUUUAAUUCGAUACAAAGCGAAAAACCUUACCCAGACUUGACAUGUACCUGCAGAUUUAUGGAAACAUAAAUUGUCUUCGAGAGUGG
rnacentral:rRNA from 1 species